rnacentral:rRNA from 1 species
UACGUAGGUGGCAAGCGAUACUCGGAAUCACUAGGCGUAAAGCGCAGGUAGGUGGUUUGAUAAGUCUUUUGUGAAAGCUCCUGGCUCAACUGGGAGAGGUCAAGGGAAACUGUCAGACUAGAGUUUGGUAGGGGAUACUGGAAUUCCUGGUGUAGCGGUGAAAUGCGUAGAUAUCAGGAGGAAUACCUAUGGCGAAAGCAGGUAUCUGGGCCAUAACUGACACUGAGCUGCGAAAGCUAGGGGAGCAAACAGGAUUAGAUACCCUGGUAGUCCUAGCCCUAAACGAUGUUCAUUAGAUGUGGGAGGUAUCGACCCCUUCCGCGUCGCAGCUAACGCAUUAAAUGAACCGCCUGGGGAGUACGGCCGCAAGGUUGAA